rnacentral:rRNA from 1 species
UACAGAGGUCUCAAGCGUUGUUCGGAUUCAUUGGGCGUAAAGGGUGCGUAGGCGGCGCGGUAAGUCGGGUGUGAAAUCUCGGAGCUUAACUUCGAAACUGCAUUCGAUACUGCCGUGCUUGAGGACUGGAGAGGAGACUGGAAUUUACGGUGUAGCGGUGAAAUGCGUAGAUAUCGGAAGGAAGACCAGUGGCGAAGGCGGGUCUCUGGACAGUUCCUGACGCUGAGGCACGAAGGUCAGGGGAGCAAACGGG